rnacentral:rRNA from 1 species
UAGCUAGUUGGUGAGGUAAAGGCUUACCAAGGCGACGAUCUGUAGCGGGUCUGAGAGGAUGAUCCGCCACACUGGAACUGAGACACGGUCCAGACUCCUACGGGAGGCAGCAGUGGGGAAUUUUGGACAAUGGGGGCAACCCUGAUCCAGCCAUGCCGCGUGAGUGAAGAAGGCCUUCGGGUUGUAAAGCUCUUUCGGCCGGGAAGAAAUCGCAUGGGUCAAUACCCUGUGUGGAUGACGGUACCGGAAUAAGAAGCACCGGCUAACUACGUGCCAGCAGCCGCGGUAAUACGUAGGGUGCGAGCGUUAAUCGGAAUUACUGGGCGUAAAGCGUGCGCAGGCGGUUUUGUAAGACAGGCGUGAAAUCCCCGGGCUUAACCUGGGAACUGCGUUUGUGACUGCAAGGCUAGAGUACGGCAGAGGGGGGUGGAAUUCCACGUGUAGCAGUGAAAUGCGUAGAGAUGUGGAGGAACACCAAUGGCGAAGGCAGCCCCCUGGGUCGAUACUGACGCUCAUGCACGAAAGCGUGGGUAGCAAACAGGAUUAGAUACCCUGGUAGUCCACGCCCUAAACUAUGUCAACUAGGUGUUGGGUGGGUAAAACCAUUUAGUACCGUAGCUAACGCGUGAAGUUGACCGCCUGGGGAGUACGGCCGCAAGGUUAAAACUCAGAGGAAUUGACGGGGACCCGCACAAGCGGUGGAUGAUGUGGAUUAAUUCGAUGCAACGCGAAAAACCUUACCUACCCUUGACAUGCCAGGAACUUGCCAGAGAUGGCUUGGUGCCCGAAAGGGAGCCUGGACACAGGUGCUGCAUGGCUGUCGUCAGCUCGUGUCGUGAGAUGUUGGGUUAAGUCCCGCAACGAGCGCAACCCUUGUCGUUAAUUGCCAUCAUUUGGUUGGGCACUUUAACGAGACUGCCGGUGACAAACCGGAGGAAGGUGGGGAUGACGUCAAGUCCUCAUGGCCCUUAUGGGUAGGGCUUCACACGUCAUACAAUGGUCGGUACAAAGGGUUGCCAAGCCGCGAGGCGGAGCCAAUCCCAGAAAGCCGAUCGUAGUCCGGAUUGCAGGCUGCAACUCGCCUGCAUGAAGUCGGAAUCGCUAGUAAUCGUGGAUCAGCAUGUCACGGUGAAUACGUUCCCGGGUCUUGUACACACCGCCCGUCACACCAUGGGAGCGGGUUCCGCCAGAAGUAGGUAGCCUAACCGCAAGGGGGGCGCUUACCACGGCGGGGUUCGUGACUGGGGUGAAGUCGGAACAAGGUAGCCGUAGGGGAACCUGCGGCUG